AGCCUUGAGAUAUUAUUUUAGGUGAAGCCUGCCCAGUGCUAAUUGUAAACGGCCGCAGUACCUUGACUGUGCUAAGGUAGCAUAAUCAGUUGGCUUUUAAAUGGAGUCGGGAAUGAAUGGAUUUAUGGGGUUGAGCUGUCUCCACUAUACUGAUUUGAAUUUACUUAGUAGGUGAAAAUGCCUACAAUAAGAAAAAAGACGAGAAGACCCUAGGAGUUUUAAUUAAAGUUGACAUGGGUUAGCUAAUGUUUUUGUUGGGGCGACAUGGGAGAAGUAUUUUAACCUCCUUUACUAACCUGCCGACUUAGUAUGAGCGGGUAAACUACCCUAGGGAUAACAGCGUAAUUCUUUUAGAGCUUGCGACCUCGAUGUUGGACUAGGAAUUUGGUGGGCUAGCCGCCUAUUUAUAUUGUUCUGUUCGAACUAUCUUUCCU
rnacentral:rRNA from 1 species